CCUUGAUCUCUUGGAUCACUCUUUCUGGGGAAGCUGGCCAGCACUCUGUGAGGACACUCAAGCCUCUCUGUAGAAAGAUCCACAUGAGGAAUACCUGAGGCCUCCUGCCAAAAACCAGCACCAACUUGCCAGCCUUCUUGGCUGGAGAAUGGGAAAGUUGCUUCUUCAAGAUGGCCCAAACCAUGGACCCACGAAAAGGACCCAAGUGUGUAGAAGAUCAGGACAUCUUUACCUGAAUGUUCUAGACUCCAUGAGACCCAGAGACUCCUAGAAAAUGUGACUGACAGAAAAUGCUCCUCCAUCCAGGAAGGUGAAGACUUGGAAGAGCUAUAUCAGAUUUAGGGGAAAGAAUAAUGGCAAUUUUUUGCAUCAAAUAAUGUAAAAUAAAAUUAAAACCCACUAUAAGAUAUUAAGCAAGAUCUGCAACAUGUCCCUCGUUAUACAGAUGAGAAAAUUAAGAACCAGGAGAUUAGAAAGUGAUUCCUUGCCUGCUGACCCUACAUUCCUCUGUCCUGGUGGAUGUUGCCAGAUGUUCUUUCCGCCUUACUCUCAGGACAUCAGUCCCCUGAAUUUUACAGGCCCGCUGGCACUUCUUUCUCAACAAGCUAAUAUUGGCAACCCGAACUGAAAGCCUCAGUUUGCAUCUAGUAUUCUCUUACUUUUCUUUCUCAACCCGAAUUCCAUUGUCCACAGCUUUUUCCAGUGCUUUGCAUUCCCUUCUCUGCACCUCCGUGGCAACCUCUGUCAUGAUGUGAAAAGAGCCAGCUUUCAAUCCCAACUGGACCACCAACCAGCUGUGAAAACCUGUGCACUUCAACUGCUAUGAACCUCAGUCUCAUUCUCUCUCCCUGCAUCAUGGAGUUGCUGUGAGGAAGAGUGAUAACGAACAUGGAGGACCAGCUUAGUAUCCAGCACAAAGUUCCUUGGUAAACAGGAGCCUCUGUAGCCUGGCCACCCUGUCUUAUGAUCACUGAUUCACAUGUCCUUCAUUCAACCUCCUGGAAGGCAGCAUCUGUGUCAUCUCUGCCUGUACCUCCAGCCCCUAGCCCAGGGCUUAAUGGCACAUAGGCACUCCAUUAACUCAUUACUCAGACAUUACUGAGGUGGAGAAAUAGAUACUGUGGUUACAGAGUGGCUCCGACAAGAUUUAGACUCUCAAGGAAGUUACAUUUGAGUAAGUGAGAUAAAAACACAGACAACCAAAGGCUGAGUUCUUAGAACUGAGUUGUAAUUUUUGGCUUUUCUUGACCUUUUAAUACGAUGGGCAAUGUUUCAGCUGGUGUCAAAAUAGUUGACCCAGGUGGGCAAAAAGUCAUUAAGUAUGAAAGCACUUCGAUUAAGGAAUAUUUUAUUUUCCAUGGGGUCUUUGAGAGCUUAGAGAAAAAUAGAAGCAAUGGUGAAAUAACAGCGAACAGACUCCUGCAAUUAAACGUGGUUUCACUUAAGUAUCACUUUCAGAUAGUGUCAAGUUAAAGCAUUUAAGAAGAUUGCUGAAAAAAGGAGGCUUCCUUCUUAAUCUAAGUGAGAUGCUGGCACGGGAGGCCUCCAAAGGGAAACUGCCAGAUGCUGUUUUAUGCACUCGGCGUGUUUGUGCCUAACAUCUCCUUAGCGGUUUUGAAUUCUACAUUGUCUGCAAAAUUGCCACUUCAUUAAAAUUGCCUCAGAAAUUCCCUUUUAAACGAUGCAGGUAGUCAAUUAGCAUCUGUCCUGCCUAGUUUGCAUUUGAGAAAUGCAGGAAUUAUUUUCAAGGAUACCUUUAUUUAAUCUUGAAUUUCCUGUGUUUUCAGGAAAAAUGCUGGUUAGUCAAGGACACCUGAGGGAUGACAUUUUAAAAUCAAUAUAUUUAAGGUUUCUCUUCGUUUAAACUGUUAGGAGCUAAAAAUUCCUAAAGUUUGAUGUUCUUGUUGCCAUAUAUAUGCCCUAAAUCCCCAACAUAAUUUUGCGUUAGUUUAGACAAUAGUCUCUUACCAUUUGAUGGUCAUUAGGAUUUGUGUAAGUGUGUAUUAUAAAGAUAGAGAGAUAGAGAUGGCAAGGUAGGGAAAAAUUUAGUUUAAUUUGUAAAUUAAAAAAGCAAUAUACAUACACAGAGAAUAUUCAGCCUGGAGUCAAACAAAUCAGUGUGGUUUGUUCCAGGCUGGGGUCAAGGCUUACUAUAGUUAAGCAUCUAAAGUUUAUUUCUUAGGAGAAAAUAAUGGUACAUUCAAAGACAGUGGUAGAAAGAGGAAAAUUUUCUUAGACGGCAGGAGCCAAGGUGAUAACAUUUGAUGGGUUGCAUGAACAAUAUUGGACAAGCCUGGUAAAAAUAGACAAAAUAUGUGGAAUUUGG
rnacentral:lncRNA from 1 species